rnacentral:rRNA from 1 species
CGGCAACAGCUCAAAUUUGAAAUCUGGCCCUUGUGGUCCGAGUUGUAAUUUGUAGAGGAUGCUUUUGGUGCGGUGCCUUCCGAGUUCCCUGGAACGGGACGCCAUAGAGGGUGAGAGCCCCGUCUGGUUGGACACCAAGCCUCUGUAAAGCUCCUUCGACGAGUCGAGUAGUUUGGGAAUGCUGCUCUAAAUGGGAGGUAUAUGUCUUCUAAAGCUAAAUACCGGCCAGAGACCGAUAGCGCACAAGUAGAGUGAUCGAAAGAUGAAAAGCACUUUGAAAAGAGGGUUAAAUAGUACGUGAAAUUGUUGAAAGGGAAGCGUUUGUGACCAGACUUGGGCUUGGUUAAUCAUCCAGCGUUCUCGCUGGUGCACUUUGCCAGCCCAGGCCAGCAUCAGUUCGCUGCGGGGGAUAAAAGAUCUGGGAAUGUGGCUCUUCGGAGUGUUAUAGCCCGUUUCUUAAUACCCUGUGGUGGACUGAGGUUCGCGCAUCUGCAAGGAUGCUGGCGUAAUGGUCAUCAACGACCCGUCUUGAAACACGGACCAAGGAGUCGUCUUCGUAUGCGAGUGUUCGGGUGUCAAACCCCUACGCGUAAUGAAAGUGAACGGAGGUGGGAGCCUCGGCGCACCAUCGACCGAUCCUGAUGUUUUCGGAUGGAUUUGAGUAAGAGCAUACGGGGCCGGACCCGAAAGAAGGUGAACUAUGCCUGUAUAGGGUGAAGCCAGAGGAAACUCUGGUGGAGGCUCGCAGCGGUUCUGACGUGCAAAUCGAUCGUCAAAUAUGGGCAUGGGGGCGAA